GCAGUAGGCAGCGCGUGAGUCUCAUAAUCUUAAGGUCGUGAGUUCGAUCCUCACUCGGGGCA
rnacentral:tRNA from 1 species